ensembl:snoRNA
CUGGUCCUGAACCAAGGCUGGUAGUUUGCUGAAGCUUCUGGUUUCAAGGAGGAGCCCAAAGAUAUAUCUAUCUGUGGUCUGUUGACCAUUUCAGAAACAUGGAAAUGUAAUGGUCAAUUCAUUAAAAAGAGAAAAAA